UACGGAGGGUGCAAGCGUUAAUCGGAAUUACUGGGCGUAAAGCGCGCGUAGGCGGCUCGGUCAGUCGGGUGUGAAAUCCCUGGGCUCAACCUGGGAACUGCAUUCGAUACUGCUGAGCUAGAGUGUGGGAGAGGGUAGUGGAAUUCCCGGUGUAGCGGUGAAAUGCGUAGAUAUCGGGAGGAACAUCAGUGGCGAAGGCGACUGCCUGGCCCAACACUGACGCUGAGGUGCGAAAGCGUGGGUAGCAAACAGG
rnacentral:rRNA from 1 species